rnacentral:lncRNA from 1 species
ACGAAUGAUUUAGUGGAUAAAUACAAUAAUCCUAAAUGGUCCAAGAGUCGGGAAAAGAACGAUUUAUGUUCAUUGAACCACUGUAGAAACAAAUCAAAUGAUUCACUGAAUCAUAAUAGAAGAAGUGGUUCCAACUAUUAUAUAAGUCAAUAUGUGAAACGAUUCACAAUUGAUAGAGAAUCGGACUGAAACUCGUUGAAUUAUUCAAGGUCGAUAAACGAACUCAAUUGAGUAGUCAAGGAAUCGAGAAGAGAAAUUAUUGGAAUAAUUCCCGAAUCAAGAUGAGAACUUAUUAAGUUCCAGGAAAAGGAUUUCGAAACGAUCAAAGAUUGUAAUAGCUCAAGAAUCAACAAUUCUCGGAAAUCAAAUUAGUUCACAGGAUAGGCGACAAUAAAUAUAUAUUGAAUUUAAAAGACGAGUAAUAACAAUAAUAAACCGAACGAUACGAGUGCUCGGCAUAUAUUCUGUUUUUCAGAAAGAAUAGGCAAGGGGUAGGGAUCCUCACCUGAAGUCCAAUGCAAGUGCUAUAAAAACACCUUACUCUCGAGUCAUGCUCAAGUCAGUACGCUCGAUACCUAUAAAAAUAUUCAUCACUUAACAACAUUCUAAAUGUUAAUAUAACCGUAUUAUUCCACUAUAUCACAUACUCAAUUUCUUGAAACAUUUAUUAAGAAUGCCUUGCUGCCACAGCUUAUUCGAACAAUCGUUACGAUCACCUUACUUAUCCGAAUAACCUAAACAAUAUAUGGAAUUAAAGCUAACAUCAGUGUCUACAGGUUUACUGAAGACCCUGAGCCCAAAUUAUCGACCUAACACAGUAAUAACAGCCUCGGAAGAUGAGUACAUGAAACUGCCAGGUUUUUAAACAAAUGCAUUAGCUGGCACUGUUUAUUCGAAAAAUCAUAACAAUUUGUAAAUUCAUCCAAAUUGGCCAAACAAUAUACCAAAUUGAACCUCACAAUGUAAACUACAAGUUCUCAGAAGACACAAAACCCAAAUUAUUAGCUCAACAUAGCACAAACGGCCUCGUAAGAAGAAUAUUCAAAACUGCCCUGUUUUUACAGAUUUUACCGUCACUUAAUUCGGACCUCUAAUCAGCUUCAAAACAUAUUCUAGCUCUAUACAAUUUUACACUUACCAAUAGUUUUCGAGGUCCUCUACGAGUUUCGUCAAGGAAUGAUUCCCAAAUUUGCACUCCAAACCCUCCAAAUUCUGCUCCGAAAACAGGUGCGGCAGCAGUUCUUCAUUUCUCUGAAUUUUGCCGACAUAACUGUCGGGUUUAAUUCGGUUAUAUAUGAUAGUCGAAAUUUGGGGAAAAGAUGAUAUUGCUAUAGUAUUCGAGCUGCUCUACAACUUUUGAGAAUAAACAAAUCCGAAAUUCAAAGCCUAAGUACCUCAAAUCGACUCCUAAAGUUCAGGGGCAGGCUGCACUUCUUGCCGUCUUCCGACCACCGGUGACCUCCGCCGGCGAAAUACUUCACCAUCGGGAAGCUUGCUUCUCAAGUUUCCCAACAAUACUUUCGGAUCGUCAAGACUCCAUUGAUAAAACCUUCUUGCAGCCCCUUUCUCUGAAGAAUCAAUUAGGGGCUUUCUUCUCUAAUCUCCCAAUCCUUCAACCUAAACUUAAUUACUCAAAAUCCUCUCAUAGAACUUGAUUUUUCCAACAAUUUCUAUGAUUCCAUUCAAGAAUCGAUAGAGAGAGAGAGGAGACAGCAGGCGAGAGAGAUGAUGAGAGAGUGAGGAGUUAGUGAGUAUAAAAAGAAACGAAGAGAAGAGAAAUUCAUCGGAUAAAGAUGACGAAUAAGCCGACUCAGCAAUUUAUCUACGAGGCUCUCUCUGCAAUUCCAAUUAAUUGCACAGCAUCGGUUCAAUCAUAUCCAAUUCAUAAACUUGAUUGCCAAGUUUAUGAAAUUAUUAUUACACUUAUCCCCCAACUUUUCUAUUAAUAACACAUCAGCCCCAAAUCUCAUUAUAAAGUACAAUAAACUCUUGUGUAUAUAUAUAACAUAAGAAUAAACUACGGGGUGUUACAAUCUCCCCUCCUUAAAGGAAUCUGGUCCCCAGAUUCUCAACUAAUACUCGGACAUGGGAUAUAGUCUUCGAUAAUCAUCUUGUUGCUAACUUGUGGCUUCUUCAACUUGGUAGUUUCUUCGAAAUACCUUUUACGUCCUUUUUGUCGAGGAUUUCGUCACCAAGAUGGAUAACCCUUACGUGGUUAAUCUCUAUAAAGAUGGCGUUAGCUUAGUCGGUACCUCAAACAUACUACGAAUUCUCCAUGAGAUUCAACUCCACGAAAGAAAAGAAAUAGUAUUGGCAAGAUGGCCUAUAUGUUCUCAAUUGGAAAUGACUUGGAUAACGAGUGAACUCUUAUCGUAAUGAAUUCCUACAACUGCUCAUGAAACAGAAUCAGAAAGUACCAAUUGUGGAAUCUCAAUAUUCGUGGUAUUAUCACCAAUACCAUUCAAAUCAUUGGUCUCGUACUAGAGGUAGCCUUGCCGCCGAGCACGAUGCCUAAUAUAUAACGGUCUAAUACAUAAAUGUCGAGAUAUUGGUAGUCAGCCAAUUAAUGUGACUUGAAAGGUACAACAAUUAUUGGAAAAAUAAUCGAGUUAGGGUUGUAGCUAUGAGUGCUACAGAUGGUCUGACGAGGAAUAAGAGGGAUUGAUACAAGCUCGAUAUCGAUCGAAGGUUCUAAGUAGCACCCCAAUUAUCCAUGUCAUUUUCUUCAAAAGAAUGUGCUUCUUCUCAACCGUUUUGCUCGAGUCCUUUCUUGGUGAGACAUAAGAUAAUCCUAUCAGUUUAGACCAUGUACACUUGUGGAACGUUCCUAAGCUCUUCUGACGAUCUUGUGCAGUCUUUGCACCUUAUUUGAUCAACCGAACUUUAUCAGUAGCAUCUUGCAAAAUCUUCAAUCGACACGCCCUUUAUCAGCCAUGAUUGGUUGCUCUCGCUCAUCUGGUUUUCCGUCACCAGCGAGUCAACACUUUAUACCCAACAAGAGAUAAGAUUUCAGAUCUAUAUCUAAAGAAGAGUGAAGAGGAGGCUACUGGCUCAGUCCACGGUUCUGGUCUACAGCAAGUGGUAUUGAUUGCUCUUCAUCAAACUCGAUAAGGACAACAAAUCCUAAUUUACCUAAUAUGCCCACAUCGGAUACUAGGAGGACUUGUUAGCAAAUGAUGAUAAUGCUUGUAAGUAAAUAAUUUCGAAAAUUUUAGAAAAUCUCAAGAGUAAACAAACUCUAUCGACUUUCAGAAUCAUGAUGACUAGACAAACUUUCCAUGGACAAGUCAAGAAUAUAAAACAAAGGAUAACAAGCUUUGAAAGGAUACUUGGUGCAUGAAAUUCAAUAUCAUAGGAUAUUCAGCAAAAUAAUCCAAGAUGAAAACCACAAAAUCUGAAUAGGUGCCAGUCAAAAGGAAGGUCAAAACUUGUGCACUGAAUUAUGACCAAUUAUUAAUGGUCAUGAUUGCCAAUAGAACUGGAAUAAUACGAAGCAGCAUAGGAAAGUCGAAUCAUAAGGUGUUCAAAGAAAUGAGAGGCCGUGAAUAAUAUGGAAUCAAAAUCAUGACGUAUUUAAGCAAGAUGAGGAAUCUCACUCAAGAAAAGUUGAUAACCAAGAACAUAAGGUAUUGAAACUAGAAUAGAAGAAUCAACUAUGAUCAACGAUGAAGUUUAAACUGUACAUCAUCUUAUGCAUAAUCAAUGCGAGAGGGAGAAUAAAUGUGGAGUUACUCGCACCAGAAUAAAAGAUUCCCCACAUAGCAAAGAAGAAAAAAAUAAUAUUCAAUGGAAGAUAAAAGAAUUGAAUAGAGAAACUGUCGGAAAAUUCGGCUCAUCCUUGAGAAAGAAUGAAAACGAGAUUCAGGUGAGCCGAGUCGAGUGAUAGAGUUCUCAAAGAAAUGAGAAAUCUAACAAAAGGUAUAACCAAAUUUAAAAGAGAGAAGGAAUUUCACAAGAGUGUAAUCGAAACGAAUGAGAGUAGAAAUCUCAUAAGAGUUUAAUCUAAGAGAAUAUGGUUCUCUUAUGCCAUAAUAUUCCACAUAGAGCAAUGGAACGAAAUCGGAUUCAAUAAAAUGCUGAAAGAAUCGAGUAUAUGAACUCUCAGGCAUUUGGCUCAAGCAUUUGGCUCACUCUAGAUUAUAAAUUAAAACGAGGUUAAGGUAAGCCAAAUCAAGUGAAAUAGUACUCAAAUGAAUGAGAAGUUUGACGAAAGGGAUAUACGAAUUGAAACGAGAUUAGAAAUCUCAUAAGAGUUGAAUCAAUUUCAAUGAAAUAAGAACCUCAGAAAGCCGGUACACAAAAGUGGAUGGUAGAAGAAUAAAAUAGAGUCUCGGAAAAUGGAUAAGACAAACCAUAGAAUAUUCAAACGGGUUAAGAAACCUCACUUGUGUUCAAUAAUAGCAAUAUGAUGUGGCCAAAAGAACCAAGAACAUCAAAUAUCUAUAGGAAAAUAGAUAAGAGUCUCGAUUAAACUAACUCAAAUAUUAUGAAUUCGGGAUCAAUUCGUUUGUGGAAAAGCACGUAAGAUGGAUUUUUCUUGUCUUCGGAUCUUGUCCUUAGAUUUAUUGAGCAGACAUACCAGAAAUUACUAGUCUUUCUUCUGAACUCGUGUGGAUUUCGUAACUAUUUGCGUUGAAAAUAGAGGCACGAACAACUUGCCAUUCUUGAAUGGACCGUUCUCUUUCGACUAGAAUUAACUUUCAUGCUUGCGAAGUCCAUCUAAACCUCGAACAAACACGAUAAACCGAGUCCAAAUAACAUGUCGAGACCUAGGAUUGAUGGUAGGACAUUAAUAUGGAAUAUUUCUCUCUAUCUAUUUCGAUAAUAGACGCCAAAAUACCUUCUCAAUACCUCUAAUACUGAAUGUUGACUUAUUAUUAUAGGCAGAUAUACCGUUAAUAACCUCAAUUUCAAACGUAAAUUCAGAGCUCUCUAAUGUACAAGAGCCUAAACCCACCUUUAAAGCCUAAGUUUCUACAAUUUCCAAGGAUCUAUAUCCGGCGUCGCUCGGGUACCCAACCCAAGCUCUGAUACCACCUGUGACGCCCACUACCGAAAUACACUGUACUUUUUUUUUUUUUCCAUUACAAUAAAUAAAUACAAUGACUUCCGAUAAAUACAAUGUUUCCUACUUAAUUUCUGAACAAUAAUAUCAAAUACACGUGACAACCAAAUGCCACAACUAAUCUCGUAUUCAUAGUUCUCGAAUUACAAUCAUUCUUAAACACAACACUAGAUUAAACUCUCUAAAAUCUCUGAAUAACUUCUACUCCUAAGAGCCAUCAACAAUAUCGUCCACUAAUGCACCUGUUACUGAGAAUAAGAAGAAAAAUAAAGGAGGAGUAAGUCCAAGUGGACUUAGUGAGGAGUACGAGGGAAAAACAGUCGAAUCAAAUAAUAAUCACAAUAUAAGCGUUCAAGGAAUUGGAGUUGGAAUUGGAGUUGGAAUUGGACCAUCUAGAGAAUGAUCGUUCGAUAAGGAAUAAGAGGCCAAAGUAUAAGGCACAUCAAUAUGAUCAGAAUCCACAAUAUAAUCAAUAUGUACAGGUAAAGAACAAUAUUCAACGGGUAAUUCCCGGAUAUCAAUUAUGAAUUUCGUGGAGAUUCCCACGAUAACAAUUUCGGAUAAAUAUGAGACCAUGGAGAUUCCCAUGGUAACAAUUUGUUCAUGUACCUGUACCUGCCUUGUGACUCCCUUAGUCGUUACUACCUUAUAACCCCGAUCAGGGCGCUACCCUGCUAAUUGAUCAAUAGGCAUGCCCGGGCGCAUGCCGAUCCAUCCAUCAGCACAGUUAACCUCCAACUAUGCCAAUGGUCUAGAUCCAAUAUGGGUACUGUCGAAGAGACCAUCCACCGUCGGCCCAAUACCGCCCAGCAGUCUUUUUCGAACAGCCCCGGGCCCAACUGGUCAAUUAUCCUUAGGGCGUCCCCAAAGGAAUCAAUAAUAUAGAGAUACGGAUAUGCUUCCGACUAUCUCAAUUUACAUUUUGAAUCCCAAUAAUGAAUUCCACUUUGGAAAGAACCAAUAUCACAGUUCAACGAUUGUGGGAUUCGAAUAACAAGUGAUAAUAUCUUGUGGUCACAAAAUCACAAGUCAAGAAGGGUACGAUCAAUGGUUUCAAUAAGAGAGUGACCACAAUUGACGAAGAUGGAUCUCAAUCAAAAAUAGUCUACGGUUAAAAUAGAAUCCGUAGUUGUAUAGCUCGAAAGGCAAGUGGUUUCAAAGGAUCAAUGGGAAGUCAAGAUAUGAACGAUCCAUCAAUUCACAGUAGGUAUGGAACGAAUGAUUUAGUGGAUAAAUACAAUAAUCCUAAAUGGUCCAAGAGUCGGGAAAAGAACGAUUUAUGUUCAUUGAACCACUGUAGAAACAAAUCAAAUGAUUCACUGAAUCAUAAUAGAAGAAGUGGUUCCAACUAUUAUAUAAGUCAAUAUGUGAAACGAUUCACAAUUGAUAGAGAAUCGGACUGAAACUCGUUGAAUUAUUCAAGGUCGAUAAACGAACUCAAUUGAGUAGUCAAGGAAUCGAGAAGAGAAAUUAUUGGAAUAAUUCCCGAAUCAAGAUGAGAACUUAUUAAGUUCCAGGAAAAGGAUUUCGAAACGAUCAAAGAUUGUAAUAGCUCAAGAAUCAACAAUUCUCGGAAAUCAAAUUAGUUCACAGGAUAGGCGACAAUAAAUAUAUAUUGAAUUUAAAAGACGAGUAAUAACAAUAAUAAACCGAACGAUACGAGUGCUCGGCAUAUAUUCUGUUU